rnacentral:lncRNA from 1 species
UGGAUGUAACGUUAUGUUUGGUAAUAUAUAUUUAUAUAUAUAGUAAUGUACUAAGCUCUGUUUAUCAGCUCCUCCUUGUUUCUUUCCCUGUUUAGGGAUCAGGAACCUACAGUUGUGGACAAGUCUGCGAAGCAGUGUUUUAAAUUCUUCCAGCUAUGCUCCCAUAAGGUGUUUUUGCAGACUUGACAGCCCUUUAAAAAAGCCAGAAAGCUGAUUUGCACCCAUCUCCCCCAACAACCUGAAUUCAUACCAUGCGUCUUAGUGGAGAAGCAAUUAUAAACAAAAGCAAGUGACACGAGAGAAUCUUCAGCUAUUGCAGCACCAAAACUAGCUAGUUGAUAGGCCUCAUGACGUUGUGGGUGUUGGCAGGACUGGCAUCAAAUAGUUCAGUUUAAAUGCAAUGUAAUUAAAGGAAAACUUCAUCCCACAUAAAAAGACUAAAGAAAUUAAUGUUUGGUGGUGUGCUUCUCUAGAUUCAAAUUUUAACAAGUUUCCAGCACUGUUAACCUAUGUUCGAUUAAGUAAUUAAAGGAAAAGAACACUACAGUGGAUAGACCCUGGAAGAUGUUUUGUUUUUGUUUUUGUUUUUUUUUUUUA